UGAGCAAUCUGCCCUUCUCAUCGGAAUAAGCGUGGGAAACCGCGUCUAAUGCCGAAUACGACCUCCUUUCGCAUGAUCGGAGGUGGAAAGCUCCGGCGGAGAAGGAUGAGCUCGCGGCCUAUCAGCUAGUUGGUGUGGGUAAUGGCCCACCAAGGCGACGACGGGUAGCCGGCCUGAGAGGGUGACCGGCCACACUGGGACUGAGACACGGCCCAGACUCCUACGGGAGCAG
rnacentral:rRNA from 1 species